rnacentral:rRNA from 1 species
AUUGAACGCUGGCGGCAUGCUUUACACAUGCAAGUCGAACGGUAACAGGCCUUCGGGUGCUGACGAGUGGCGAACGGGUGAGUAAUGCAUCGGAACGUGCCCAGAGGUGGGGGAUAACGCAGCGAAAGCUGUGCUAAUACCGCAUGUGAUCUGAGGAUGAAAGCGGGGGACCAAGCAGCAAUGUUUGGCCUCGCGCCUCUGGAGCGGCCGAUGUCAGAUUAGGUAGUUGGUGGGGUAAAGGCCUACCAAGCCGACGAUCUGUAGCUGGUCUGAGAGGACGACCAGCCACACUGGGACUGAGACACGGCCCAGACUCCUACGGGAGGCAGCAGUGGGGAAUUUUGGACAAUGGGCGCAAGCCUGAUCCAGCAAUGCCGCGUGCGGGAAGAAGGCCUUCGGGUUGUAAACCGCUUUUGUACGGAACGAAAAGGCUCUGGCUAAUACCUGGGGCUGAUGACGGUACCGCAAGAAUAAGCACCGGCUAACUACGUG